GGCUCUGCCUAUCUCUACCUCCUCGUGGUAUUGGCCGGGGUACGAGUACCCUUAGGAAAGAUCGGGUAACCAAUACCGGUGCUUUGGUCGUAUGCUGACAGGGAAGG
rnacentral:ribozyme from 1 species